UAAUCAGAAGAAUCUUAUUCGCAGCGAUUAGAAGUUUUCCGGUAGAUUUAUUUGUGAAUUUGCCGUGAUUUCACUUCGAGAUUCUGGGUUCGAUAGACCGUCUUUUACUCAGGGAGUAAGCAAAGGUCUUGUCACGGGAACAGUUCUUAGCAGAAUGGUUGAAGAAGGGAAGGCACCGGUUGUGGUAUUUGGAGAAGACAGAUCAGAUGAGAUGUUUGAAGUGCAUAACAACAAUACACUUUCAGCUCUAUCAUCGUCCAUAUUUACAGAGAUAGUGGCAUGCCAAGUACUACCUCGACACAGUAAGCGACCUGGUGAAGUUACUUCGAGAACUUGGUACCCUUCUCACCUCAGAGUCUCCCUUUGAAAGUGUGGUAUGAGUAAAGAAAUCAGAGAUUAAUGCGGGGGUUUACUGAGUUAUUUAGGUGAUAAUUUCUGAAUCUUAAUCAUGAAAAGAAACAUGAUUUGUACAUAGAAAAGAGACAGAACAUUGCGUUGCUAUUUAUGUCUGUGUAUUGAGAACUGAAGCUAAUACGAGCGCAGAGAAAAGCACU